CAGCCGUAAACAAUGUGCGUUAGGUGUGUCGGUAACCACGCGUUACUGAUGCGCCGAAGAGAAAUCGUGAAACGCACCACCUGGGAAGUACGGUCGCAAGGCUGAAACUUAAAGGAAUUGGCGGGGGAGCACCACAACAGGUGGAGCCUGCGGUUUAAUUGGAUUCAACGCCGGACAUCUCACCGGGUAAGACAGCUGAAUGAUUGUCAAUCUGAAGGUUUUACAUGACUAGCUGAGAGGUGGUGCAUGGCGUCAGUGACU
rnacentral:rRNA from 1 species